rnacentral:lncRNA from 1 species
AAGUGUAAUACCAAAAAAAAAAAGGGUAUAAGUGUAUAUAUUUUUUUUUUACAAUCAGUAUGUGUAUAUUUAAAACUAAAUAAGUAAAUAUAAUUUAUUAUUUCAAUACAUGGAUUUUAUUAUUUCACGUAAAAGAAUUCUCUAGAACCUAAAUUUUGAUUAAUAAAAAAAAUAAAAAUGACUCUUUAAUUAAUCUUUCCAAUUCCAAUGAAAUGAUAGAACUUAAAAAUUCCAUCUUUCAUCUCCCUCGUUCUCAACUUUGUCUCUGAAAUUUCUCAACCUGUGUAUUUCUUCAAGAACUUUAUUGUUGGCUACAACAACAUUAGACCCACCAACACCUUUUCUUUCCUCUUUCUUGUUGGCAAAAUCCCUUGUUUUUGUCGAAGAUUCUAUGAAAUUGACCGUUUUCCUCACUAUUUCUCGUCAUCUUCCACUUUCAUUUUUAUUUUCCAUCAGAUCUGCUUAUUUUCCUCACUAUUGAAGCUUGAAGAUGUUCAGUGGAGGAGGAAAUUGAAGAAGAAGAAGUUAGGGGUAGUUAGGUAAGUAUACAUGUGACUGAAAAUUAAUAGCUUGGAUUCGAUUCUGCUUUGACGUGGAAGCUCCAAAUUGUGGCUUUCAAAUUACUCACGUCUGGGUAGUAAACCGCGUAAAGGAGAAUCAAUUUUGCUUUUAGCCAAACAAACCAGAAACUGCCAGAAUCACGUUUGGAGAAGGAAGACUCACGUUUGGGGUUGUGAAACUCCAAACCAAACAGACGCUAA